CUCGUAGGCAGUUCAACAAGUCGGUCGUGAAAGCCCGGGGCUCAACCCCGGGACGCCGGUCGAAACUGUUGUGACUAGGGUCCGGUAGAGGUGAGUGGAAUUCUCGGUGUAGCGGUGGAAUGCGCAGAUAUCGAGAGGAACACCAGUAGCGAAGGCGGCUCACUGGGCCGGUACCGACGCUGAGGAGCGAAAGCAUGGGGAGCAAACA
rnacentral:rRNA from 1 species